AUUGAACGCUGGCGGCAUGCUUUACACAUGCAAGUCGAACGGUAACAGGCCGCAAGGUGCUGACGAGUGGCGAACGGGUGAGUAAUGCAUCGGAACGUGCCCAGUCGUGGGGGAUAACGCAGCGAAAGCUGCGCUAAUACCGCAUACGAUCUAUGGAUGAAAGCGGGGGACCGUAAGGCCUCGCGCGAUUGGAGCGGCCGAUGUCAGAUUAGGUAGUUGGUGGGGUAAAGGCUCACCAAGGCAACGAUCUGUAGCUGGUCUGAGAGGACGACCAGCCACACUGGGACUGAGACACGGCCGAGACUCCUACGGGAGGCAGCAGUGGGGAAUUUUGGACAAUGGGCGCAAGCCUGAUCCAGCAAUGCCGCGUGCAGGAAGAAGACCUUCGGGUUGUAAACUGCUUUUGUACGGAACGAAAAGGCUCUGGUUAAUACCCGGGGCUCAUGACGGUACCGUAAGAAUAAGCACCGGCUAACUACGUGCCAGCCGCCGCGGUAAGAC
rnacentral:rRNA from 1 species